UACAUUAACCUAUUUUUCCCAAUGUUGCGUAUACGCAACACGAAGUUUAUAUAAUUAAUUACUGACGUCAGUAGUUAUUUUUUUUCACGAAGUGUUAGACUAAUUGUGAAAUAAGUUCAUUUUGACUGCAUUUUGUGAAGUUAAACUUCGUGUUGCGUAUACGCAACAUUGGGAAGAAAUGGUGGGUUAAGUACGCAACAUCGGUACAUCGUCAUCAUCAGUGGGAUACACAUUAGUGAUUGAUUAGAAUAUUUUUUGAUUAAACAUCAGUGAUUGAUUAAGAAGUAUGAUUAUUAACAAAAAUGAUUAUUAACAAAAACAUGCAAGGAAGUAUACGAAUUUGCGCAGAAAGAACAUUCUUGCUAUAGAAAGUCUCAAGGACUUCACACCGUCGCGAAAAAAGAAAAAAAGCAUCGGUUGUGGUCUAUGCAUUGCCGGAAAAUACAACUUAAGGACUCGGGUGCACAAUUUUGCACCUUGUGAUCAUCCCGGCCGUCAGUGUGAUAAUUCAUGCCCAUGUAUACAAGCAUAAAACUUCUGCGAGAAGUUUUAUCAGUGCAGCAGCGAAUGCCAGAACAGAUUUCCUGAGUCAGCGAAGAAUGAAUUCAUCUCGGAAUAUUGCGGCGAAAUUAUCAGUCAAGACGAAGCUGACAGGAAGGGAAAAGUAUAUGAUAAAUAUAUAUGUAGUUUCCUUUUUAAUCUUAACAAUGAUUUUGUUGUAGACGCGAUACGGAAAGGGAAUAAAAUAAAGUUCGCUAAUCACUCGAUAAAUCCAAAUUGUUAUGUGAAAGUAAUGAUGGUGAACGGUGAUCAUAGAAUAAGUAUUUUUGCUAAGAGAGCGAUUCAACCUGCUGAAGAAUUAUUUUUUGACUAUAGAUAUAGACCACGGAACAAUUAAAAUUCGUCGGUAUCGAGCGAGAAAUGGAGUUUCUCUAAUAUAUGUAUAUACAGGGUGUUUGAUAGCUGAUCAUGCAGACGAAAGUUGGAGAUAGAUUGGGUGUAGCCGAGAAGAAAAGUCAUGUACCAUAAUGUCAAAUUGCCAAUAGUUAUC
rnacentral:misc_RNA from 1 species